rnacentral:rRNA from 1 species
GACGAACGCUGGCGGCGUGCUUAACACAUGCAAGUCGAACGGAAAGACCCUGCUUUUGCGGGGUGCUCGAGUGGCGAACGGGUGAGUAACACAUGAGUAACCUGCCCUUGACUUUCGGGUAACUUCAGGAGACUGGGGCUAAUACCGGAUAGGAGCUCCUGCUGCAUGGUGUGGGUUGGAAAGUUUCGGCGGUUGGGGAUGGACUCGCGGCUUAUCAGCUUGUUGGUGUGGUAGUGGCUUACAAAGGCUUUGACGGGUAGCCUGCCUGAGAGGGUGACCGGCCACAAUGGGCCUGAGAUACGGCCCAGACUCCGACGGGAGGCAGCAGUGGGGAAUAUUGCACAAUGGGCGGAAGCCUGAUGCAGCAACGCCGCGUGCGGGAUGACGGCCUUCGGGUUGUGAACCGCUUUCGCCUGUGACGAAGCGUGAGUGACGGUAAUGGGUAAAGAAGCACCGGCUAACUACGUG